AGCACCACUGCGAUCAAUCGCGAUUCGAUGUGAUCGAAACGUACGACUCAUUUCAUCGUCGCGCGACGCGGCUACAACAGGCAGGGCGACGUCGCGAGAUGACGACGGUGAUGACGACGACGACGGCGGCGACGGGGGCGGGCGUCGCGACGCCAACUCGAGACGACGUCGGGCACGACGAGGCACGAGAACGCGGUGCGACCGGCACCGGACAUUAAAAGCGCGCGCGUCGCGAGUCAACGCGAGCGGCGGCGUCUCGCGCGGACAACUUCAGGCCGCCGGACCGCCGCUGUCAGCGAAAUAUCCUCCCGCGGUCGACGAGCCGCGACGUGCUGCAAGCCGGAGCAGAUGGAGGCACGGAGGAAACGCCGAGAAGAAAGAAAGGAUUGACCGAGAGGAGAGGGAGACGAGCGCGCGGAGAGACGACGGGACGGUGAAUUCCAGUCGUCGAAAAGCGCUCGCGGUGUGGUCCGCAGUGGUCCGCCCGUUCCGCUCCGUUCCCCUCACUUAUUCCCCCGUCCGGAUUCACAGCCGAUGCGACGCCGCGACACGACGCGAUGUACGGAUUAUGCGGGGCGAUUCUACGCGACUGCUCCUCCCGCGAGGAUCCCAGCCUGGACGAUCGCCUCGUGCGGCCGAUAGUCGCCGGCGACGAAGAGAGAUCAAUGACUCGCGGAAAGAAAUCCGAAGAUUCGUGACGCCCUCUUCUCGCCCGAGCUUUCCUUGCGCAAGAGAAUCUUCGACCGAGAAAACCCGGCUCCGGUGUCCUUCAGGCGGAUGUAGAGUGGUCACGAGAUUCAUUCACCCCAUGAUUGUCUUUGAGCGUAGAAAAAACCCGAACAGCUUGAGAUCAUCCAGCUGGUUAUCAAAGGAUGACGUUAUCAAGGUCAAAUUUACAACGCGUUUCCAUUUACGGCUACAGCAGUUCGAGCGAGAAGGUUCUUAAUGGCGUUCGGUACUUUGUACGACCUUCGUCCUUAAUACCGCUUUAAACAAUAGCGCAGCUAAUCAGGGUGCAGAGAAAGGUAGACCUGGAUAAAAGAUAUGCCUAACCGUAAGGAACGACCCUCUGCCGAGAACAUAUACCUACGUGUACCGUGGAUUUUGCGUACGGACCGGUACGGCACAGCAAUAUCUGCCAUAUGGCAACGGCCUGGGGCGGCAUGGCUCACCGUUCCUCAUCCCUUCAGUGAACUUUUGAGAACUUGACGAGAUAGCAUCUGCGUCUGGAUACGAGUAUGGAAGAGAAAUCGCGAUAAGACGGAAACGGCGGAGCGGUCGAGUCUACGCGCGGAGUCCGAUCGCGGAGAGAAACGACGUAAUAUAUAUUUCACGACGAAAUCGUUUCCACGAUCGCUACUGGAAGGAUACAGCGCGCCGGGGUGAAAAUCGUGCCACGUGGCCCGCGGGUACUUCAGAAACAGGGGGAAACUCGGACCCGGUCCUGGCGAACGUGCGAUGCAGUAAAUAUAUUCGCCUGGACAAGAGAAACGCGGCCCGUGUGUACUCGGGUACACCGAAGAAACCGAUGGAAAUGGCCGAAUAAUCCGCAGAGAAAAAUCGUUCGAAUCAUCCAGCGGGGGAAGGAGAAACGCGAAAAAGACGCGGUCCGUCGUGUCGCGUACCUACGUCACUGCUCUCGGUCAAUGCAUCAAUCCGGCCUGCAUCUGUAUGUAUUUACGCUAGACUGACGGAGGGGAGGAGGAGGAAGAGGAGGUGGAGCAGCAAGGGGGAGACCCCUAUGUGACAUCAUCCCCCACGCGCACUCGCCUGGCCGCUUCGUCUCGCUGGCUGACUUCUGUCGCCUAACUCCAAAACACCCCUGGACCCUGCCACCUCCCUUUACCUUUAAUCUUUAUCAAUCCAUCCAGCCGAGGCCGAAUCGAACGCACGAGCGUGCACGCACGAGAGACGCAACGAUGUGCGGACGCCACCGCGCAUUAUUCACGGCCGAUAGCGCCUUCACCCUCGCCACGUCCGUCCACCUCUUUCACUGAGUUUCACCCUCCCCGUCCUCCCGUUUCGCCUGUGAGCUCUUCGCGGCUCCCUAAACUCCGUACCUUAAACAUCUCGUCCUCUUCGACUUGUGUUCCUCGCAUAAAUGGCUUGAAUCGCUAAUUGAGCCGAUACUUUCUCCAUUUUUGUCGUCUACGUUUUUAUCUCGUUGAAUUAACAAUUAUUGGCACGUGGACAAUUUGUCGAAUAUACUGAUGUCGAUAUUGACGGUGCUAACAAUAAUGGCCUCGCAACUCAAUACCAACUGUAAUUGAUCAAAAUUGACACUACAUCAAUCAUUGUAACUUUGCAAUCAACAACGUGACUGUUACGCACAAUAUAUUGUAUUACACUUAAUUAUUGAAUGGAAAGUUAUGAGAUUGAUAUAACAUUAUUGUUGACAUGUUUAUCGAGGACUGCCUUGUUCCUUUUUAAAUUGAUAUUUUCGGAGUAAUUGCAUAGUGUCAGGCUAUUUUUAUGUUAAAAGCUGAUUAUAACCCAAUACCGAUUAUAAACGUGCAUUAUCGAUUACGUUAAACAUGUAUAGUUCCUAUUUAAUAUUCGGACUUUGUAUACAUAUUGUACCUGAUUAAAAUUUGAUCAAGAUUG